UGCGCAGGCGGCUUAUUAAGUCAGUGGUGAAAUCUCUCGGCUCAACCGAGAAACUGCCAUUGAAACUGAUAAGCUUGAGAGUAGUUGUAGUAGGCGGAAUAUAGCAUGUAGCGGUGAAAUGCUUAGAUAUGCUAUAGAACACCGAUCGCGAAGGCAGCUUACUAAACUAUUACUGACGCUCAUGCACGAAAGCGUGGGGAGCAAACAGGAUUAGAUACCCUGGUAGUCC
rnacentral:rRNA from 1 species